rnacentral:lncRNA from 1 species
UUAAUUUUACUAUCUAAUCCUUCAAUUUAUUUUAUUUGAGUCGAUCAAUGGUGCACAUUGACUAUAAAAUUUAAGCUAAUUUUCGGAGAGUCGUAGAAAUAUAUUAAAUAAACUUGUAAAGAUAAAUGAUAUAUUUAAAUUUUGAAAUUAAAGUGCCGUUGAUUGACUCAAAUCAAGUAAAUGAAAAUAUUGGAUAGUAAAAAUUAAAAAUUUGAAAGGAUGGACAGUUUUGUUUUGUUUUGUUUUAUUUAGCUUGU